GCUAGGCUUGUAAGUGGAGGCCACUCUUUCUCUCCUUUAAGGACACCGAGGAGUAUGAAACCUUCUACUCAGCAGUUCUAUUCGAAUAUAACGAGCAAUUCACUUGUUUUUUUUUUCGCCACAGAAAUUUUUAUCACAGCGCUUUACAUUCAAACAGAGCCGAUUGAGGUUUUCAUGUAGGUAAGCUGUAGACGACGUCCCGACAUUCAAAUAAUGAUAUUCCAUUGUGUGACUUGUGGAAGUACAGCGUCUAGGGGCAAAACGGGGUCACAGCCAAACAGUGGAUAAAACGGAGAGAGUCACUAUUCCCUCAGCCGACAGUCCAGGCUCAGUCAUUCAAGUGUGAAUGACAUUAUACAUGAAACAUGUACUGCCAUUUACGACGAGCUGGGAAGCAACAUUAUGACAAGAUCCCGCACGGAGGAGGAAUGGAAAUAUGGGAUGGAAGGCUUCGAUCACAAGCAAACGACAUCCCUAAAGAGAGACGUACAAAACAGAAGGGCAGGCCUGCAAGAACUUGUGAAGGUUGUCAAGGGCUCGCCGUGUCGUCGAAAACGCUUUUGGAAUAUUGACGAACCGCUUCCGGUGUAUCCAAACAGUCAUCAAUGCAUCCCCAGACAUGGUGACUCCCAUCGUCGAUGCGGCAUGUGUGCUGCACAAUUUUCUAGGCAACGAUGUUAUCAGUGCGCUAGACUUAGAAAUCGAACCAAACUCUGCUGGGUCACUCCUGUCUGGCCAAUAUGCGUCGCUUGGUAGAAUUGUUGCUGUUGGCGCCGCAGUGCGUGAUAAGCUGUGUUCGAUCUUUAAUGACAUGGGCGCGGUGCCAUGGCAGCGGCAGAUCGCCCACUUGGAUGUGAGCAUUUACAGAAAACCUUGGAACUGAAUACAACAGUCAACACUGAAGUGGAAUGAACAUUUUAUUUUUCCUGUUUUUAAUAAACUUCUAUGUGUCUUUCCAUCA